CACUCAUCCAUUGUCUGUUUCUAUGGCUUUACCUUUUCUUCUUCUAUGACAUCUUGAAUGCUGCAGUUCAAUAUCAUUCUAGCUGUGAGUGUCCUUGUUAGUAUUACACAAGAUGUGUGAUAACCUAUAAGCUAUUUUUAAAAGGAUUAGGCAAAAAUAAGUAAGUGCAAGAGAACUGGAAAAGAAAAGACAGGAUAUAGGGAAGGGAAAAAGAAAGACCAAAAGUAGAGUGUAUAGUUGAUGUUGCUGUCCACGCUGUUUGAAAACCUUGUCUGUCACAGCGGUGAGCAGACCCAUGGCGCUGAUUGGAAACUUUGGACAAAGGGGAGCACAGAGCUCAUUGCGUAUCUGAAGGAGGUGGACACACAGCCACACAGCCAGGACUCCUGGAAAUGGCUGAUCCACCUUCUACAUCCUGAAAACACAGACUCUCCCUGA
rnacentral:lncRNA from 12 species